UACGUAGGGGCCAAGCGUAGUCCGGAUUUAUUGGGCGUAAAGAGCUCGUAGGCGGUUCGGCAAGUCAGCUGUGAAAUCUCCACGCUCAACGUGGAGGGGUCAGCUGAUACUGCUGUGACUUGAGUCCGGUAGGGGAGUGUGGAAUUCCAAGUGUAGCGGUGAAAUGCGUAGAGAUUUGGAGGAACACCAGUGGCGAAGGCGACUUUCUGGUCUGUAACUGACACUGAGGCGCGAAAGCGUGGGGAGCAAACAGG
rnacentral:rRNA from 1 species